rnacentral:sRNA from 1 species
CCCAGAACCACGGAAAUUCUGCAGUGACUAUGGCCUGGAGCAGCUGUGACUGGGUGGCCCCUCUCCAGGUGCAGGUGCUGGACCUGCAGGAUCCUCCAGUGUGUCUCAGAGCCAGCCCCAUGUUUAAGGUAUUGCUGAACCCACUGACAGAAAGUCCUAUGACAGUGUCUCCUUUGUUAAUCAGCCAAACCUUCCCGGUGCCAGGUUAGCAGGGCCAUAUUUGCCUCACUUUAGGGCUUGCCCUAGGAUGCAGGUCAAAGGUAACCAGGCCCCUCCACCACCAGCAGUGUGGACCGCAACGUGGCGUGGCGUUAAUGUUGGAGUAAGUUGGCACUAGUCGCUGCGGGCUGUGUGGGAGCCCUGCCUCCUCUCCCUCUCCUUCUAACUUGGGAACUGACUCUCUUUCUAACCAGUUCCUCUACCCUUGGGGUCAUUCACUGGCCUUAGCAGGAAGCUGGAAGAGAGGAUGGGAGGGAGGAGGGGCUUGGGGAGAUCCAUCCACAGCAGAGAUAGCAGGACUCUGGUACUUCACCGGGAUCCUAAGCUGCCUGCCUGGUUUCUUGUGCCCUGUUUUAAGAACAGGUUUCUUUUUGAUACCAACCUUUCUGGAAAGAACUGCCCACGCGAACAUCACCUGCCCUGCGACCCGAUCAUUGCAGAACUCCUUCAGCAAAGCAGGAGGCUGGCUCCUGACAGACCUCUGGUCCUGAGGUCAGGCUCCCCUCUCCAGCAUCCCCAUCCACGAGAGGCACCGUGGGUGGCAUGUCCCUAGUAGCAGGGCCCUUUCGCCAUCACAAAGAGAACCCACUUCUCCCAAAUGAAUGGAACCCCAACUUCAGGAACACAUGGUCUCACUGCAGUGUGCGGACAGGUGGGGGAUUCUCGGCUCUACUUGAUCCUGACAGGAUAUGGGACAACUGUGGCCACUAAGCAUCUAGACCUCAUGGCUCAUGGAUUUCAUAGCAGAAUCCAUGCCCCAAUCCUGUGCAUUCUCAGGGGGCUGCUGGGUGCUCAGUGGUGAUAUAAGGGGACACACACACACGCUCAGGACAAUGAGGCAGCAAAUAGGGGUGUAGCGUCUGGGUCACAGUGACACUGGGAGGGAGGGAGAGGCGCCUGUGGUAGGAAGGAAGUUAGAGAUGUGCGUAGAAGGAACCAAGGGCUGAGAAUCAGGAAGGUGGAAGAGUAUCUAGCUGUGGGCAGAAGAGUCCAUUGUGGUGUCAGACUAGCUUUAAAGGAAUGGGGAGGGUGCACAGGACACCCAGACUUCCCCACAUGUCCCUGUCAGAGAAUGUCUCCAUCUUCUCAGGGUUUCUUGCAGUCUCCCUCAUUUACUUCCUUCCCUGGCCACUUCUUUCACCAGGACUCGCUGGUACUCACCGUCAGCCGUCAGCCGCUGUGCAGGGCACAGGUGGUCCCAUGCCAGUCCCUGCCUCUGCCACCAGGGACAUAAAGGGCAGUUUGAUGUGGAAGGACUCAGUAAUAGCAGUGUCGUGCCACAGUGAGAAAGUGUGUCUCUGCUAGAGGUGCUCCCGCCCCCAGAACCAUUCUCUUCCAAGCAAAGCAAAGUUACAUUGUUAUACCUGUCAGAUGGCUUGAGGGAAGGCCGUGUGCCAGCAUCUAGUGCCCCGGAACACCUCAAAUGGAUCCUGGAAGGACUUCAUGGUGACCGGGCUUGGUGGGGUGCAGCUGCUCAUUUUGACAGGCUGGAAGAGAGGACCAGGAGAGCAAGCAAAAGGAGGCAGUGGAGACAAGCAAUACCCUUCCAAAGCAUGUCCCCCAUAGUGGCCUCUUCCCUUAAACUCUCCCUCUGCCUCCCAACUUCCCAUUGCCUCCCAACACCACUGCCAGUUAUAACUCUAUCGAGGGACUUUCCAUUGAUGAAGACAGCACCUGUUUGCUGGUUCAUCUAAUCUGUGUCUGGAUUCAUCUAUACUGUCAUUGCUAUAGGCAGUGUGUGUGUGUGUGU